GGAGCUUGCUCCGGAUGUUAGCGGCGGACGGGUGAGUAACACGUGGGUAACCUGCCUGUAAGACUGGGAUAACUCCGGGAAACCGGAGCUAAUACCGGAUAGUUCCUUGAACCGCAUGGUUCAAGGAUGAAAGACGGUUUCGGCUGUCACUUACAGAUGGACCCGCGGCGCAUUAGCUAGUUGGUGGGGUAAUGGCUCACCAAGGCGACGAUGCGUAGCCGACCUGAGAGGGUGAUCGGCCACACUGGGACUGAGACACGGCCCAGACUCCUACGGGAGGCAGCAGUAGGGAAUCUUCCGCAAUGGACGAAAGUCUGACGGAGCAACGCCGCGUGAGUGAUGAAGGUUUUCGGAUCGUAAAGCUCUGUUGUUAGGGAAGAACAAGUGCGAGAGUAACUGCUCGCACCUUGACGGUACCUAACCAGAAAGCCACGGCUAACUACGUGCCAGCAG
rnacentral:rRNA from 1 species